rnacentral:rRNA from 1 species
GGUUGAUCCUGCCAGUAGUCAUAUGCUUGUCUUAAAGAUUAAGCCAUGCAUGUCUAAGUAUAAGCACUUGUACUGUGAAACUGCGAAUGGCUCAUUAUAUCAGUUAUAAUUUAUUUGAUGGUCAUUUACUUGGAUAACCGUGGUAAAUCUAGAGCUAAUACAUGCAUAAAAUCCUGACUGGGAACGGAAAGGAUGUAUUUAUUAGAUACAAAAACCAAUGCACUAAGUUCUCUCGGGAGCUUGGUGGAAAACAUGGUGAUUCAUGAUAACUUUACGAAUCGUAUGGUCUU